GUUCUUUGCUCUUUUUGUUGGGCUCCUUGCGCUCUUCGCAUCGUUAAUUGGAAAUGCAUCUGCAGAUAAUGGACAAAUCAUUUGUUGCUAUGAGUAUAUUCACAAGCAAUUAGAGUGCAAACCUGCAACGUGUUCACCGGAAUACAGGAUUCCAUUAGAUUACAGCAAGUGCCAAUGCUGCGAAGCAUGUUCCAAUGAAUAAUAAAUGUAGUUGGAGUUAAAUAAACAACGAUGAUUAGCAAUAGUUUUGUAUUAUUUUGAAAUUUUAAUACAAAUAAAAAUAUUUUAUAA